AAUUAGCGUGGGAGGAAGAGACAGUGAAGCAGCCCCUUAAAAAUGGUCUUUCGGGUGGAAACACUUUAUUUGGGAAGCAAAGUGCAAGAUUCAGCAAUAGAAACCACUCAGUGUCCUUGGUGAAUGAUUUGAUCCUGGCCAUCAGAACCUUUACUUCAGCCAGCAAUAAACUCUUAGAAACAGAAGCUUCGAGGUAUGUACUCCUGUUCUGCACGAACAAGUUUUCUGGUUGAACAUGCUGAACCUCUUAAAAAAUUCAGAACAAGUUUUCUCAGAGUUUACAAAGGGAUUUCAAUCACAUGAAGAGAGGAAAACACACUGAGUCGUAACAGUGACAUCAAAAUACUUUUGAAGUUGACUGAAAAUGUGGUUGCUUUUGUUUGAGAAUGGCAAAUUAAAGAAUUGGAUAUUGGGUUCUUAUCUCAGAAGAAACAAAGGAGGAGACCCUGAAAAACUGAACAUGAAGAGGAAGAAGUGGAGUUAUGCAACUCUUCAUAAGAAAAUCUCCAUCUGUUUGGAGAAGUACUGCGUCCUUCCGGAUUAUCUUCUACACUAUGCCUUAUUGUUAUCUGGCUGGUUCCACCACCGGUCAGAAGAAUGAAAAUUGCAGAUACCUAUUCUGUGUGUUUCUCUCCAGAAUGGUGGAUGUUAGAGACCCUACUAAGGAUUUGUGGACUCACUAACGUAGUCUCUAAAAGGUUGGACAUCCCUACCCAAGGCUCAAAUGGUAACAGGUCCAUGCCUUACUUGUGUCAGUUCUCUUAUUGAAAGAGCAUCUCCUAACCAUCCUACCAAUAAGGGUCUUACUCUGUUGCCCUGGCUGGAGUGCAGUGGCCCAAUCAUAGCUCACUGCAGCCUUGACUUCCCAGCCUCAGUUGAUCCUCCUACCUUAAUCUCCCGAGUAGCUGGGACUGCAGGUUUACUUAUACUAAGAUUUUCUUCUGCCUCUGCCAACCCUGAGACAGCAAGACCAAUUCCUCCUCUCCCCUGUCCUCCUCCUCGCCUACUCCACAUGAAGACAACGAGGAUGAAGACCUUCAUGAUGAUCCAUUUCCACUUAAUGAACAAACUUCAGGAAAUUAUUCAAGAAGAGAGGCAUGGUGGUAUGCUGGAAAGUCUGCUGAGCUUGAAAGUAGGUAACCCAGGCUCCUGUUCCUGUUCUCAUUGAUGAGUUCCCUGACUUCAGGUGAGUCACAGCUUCUCUGGACUUUCAUGUCCUUUUGCAAAGUGAGUCUGAUCAUUUCUAGGAUCUUUUCCAGCCCUGAGAUUGUAUGAGCUGCAAUAGCUAAGAGAUAUGGGAAAGUGGGUCAUUGGAAAGUUGUUUUCCUAACUCCACAGGCAACAAUGUGCCUCAUUCUUAGUCAUCAAAGGCAAAUACGAAGGGAUGGGAAGCACUCUCUUCACUGUCCAUUUGCAAGCAGAAUCACUCUUCACUUGAUUGUCCAGUGUCUGUAUAGUCUCUCACAGAGCCCAGCACAUGUGGGCAUUCUGUAAAUGGCCAUUGAGAACUGCCAGGUCUGUGGCUGCUACAGAGCACAAUGAUGAUGAUAAUGGUGUUGAUGAUCAUGAUGAUGAUGGGCUGGUGUAUCGAGGCACAGACCCAAGGAAGGCUAAUGAGAAUGUUUCUAGGGAAGCUUCCUGCAUGUCACUCUUCUUCCUUCUACUUCCUCUAGGUUCAUCUUCCCUGACUAACAGGGAGCCAGGGCUAUAAUAACGGGAAGGAAGUCAUCAUGUGAUUCUACCUAGAAACGCAGGCAUCAACUUGAAAUGUUUUCUCUUUCUCUUGUAACUCUGGAAUAUGGCUCCUUGGAUUGGAGGUGGCAAAUACCACGGGUUAAACAAUGUCAUUCUGAGCUCUUUUAGUACUGAAUAAUGCAAUAUAUACCAUAUUCUACCCUCUUAAAGAAGGAGUGUAUCAGCUAUGUGCCUGAUAUGGUUUGGCUCUAUGUCCCCACCCAAAUCUCAUCUUGUAGCACCCAUAAUUCCCAGGUUUUGUGGGAGGGACCCGGUGGGAGAUGAUUGAAUCAUGGGGGCUGGUCUUUCCUGUGCUGGUCUUCUGAUAGUAAAUGGGUCUCACAAGAUCUGAUGGUUUUUGAAAACAGGAGUUUCUCUGCAUGAGCUCUCUCUGCCUGCUGCCAUCCACUUAAGAUGUGACUUGCUCGUCCAUCGCCUUCUGCCAUGAUUGUGAGGCCUCCCCAGCCACGUGGAACUUAGCUCAGGACAGCAACCAGACCUGAGAUUCUUUUCAACUUAUACGCUGUUGAUGAAUGUGGUUUCUGGAUGAAAAACUGAGAACAGACUGACCCUCUGGCCACAGCUACUCGCGUCAGGGACGCAUAGUUGCAGGUGCAUGCUGUCUGGUUUGGUUUGCCAAGUCAAAAUAGUUGUGUUUCCCGCUGUGGUGAGAGUUUCCAACUUCAGACGGGGCAAGAGAAAUUCUAAACAGUUUGCCCUUUGCAGAUGUAUUGAAAUAGUACUGAAAUUUACUGAUUUUCCCUCAUGUUUUUUUUCCGUGCUUUUAUCACUACCCUGAAAAUAAACAAGGAGAAAAGGCAAGC
ensembl:lncRNA LINC03069 long intergenic non-protein coding RNA 3069